GGUAACCUUCGAAGGUGCGAGACGCGCACGAGCUAGACGCGCGCACGUACGAGCCAGAUGCGCACGAGCCAGAUGCGCACGAGCCAGACGCGCACGAGCCAGACGCGCACGAGCCAGACGCGCACGAGCCAGACGCGCACGAGCCAGAUGCGCACGAGCCAGAUGCGCACGAGCAAUCGCGUAAUGGCCAAUAUAGUAACAAUUUCAUUUCACUUAUUUGCUGGUCGUUUUUGUAGUCUAGUCGUAACAUUUGCACCGAACCUCUUGCAAUGCCUUCAUUUAAUGAUUUAACCACCUCUGAAUUGUCCACAUUAUUGAAAAAGAAUGGAGUGGAUAACGAAGUCAUUGAAAAAUUUCAAGAGUGACAGCUUACCUGUAACACCAAUUCAGUGAUAAAAUGUCCAAAUGCUCUUAAUGCAAAUACCAGUACCCCAAAAGAUUCAUUACGGAACUACAAAAUUCCAAAUCGUUAUUAUGUUGUUGAAGCUGAAAACAGAGUAUUUACACCCAAAUCUGAUUAACGAGCUCAUCAGAGAUAUCUGCACAAGUGUGCUGAGAUUUACAAACCGUCCCAGCAAAACAGAACGUAUAAAGAUUGCACUUAUGGUUGUUGAAUCAUAUCCAUUCUUGAAGGAUCCACUAUUAGAUGCAAACUCAAAGCCAUGGAACAAAUGUGAAAGGUUUUCAAGUUCCAAUGGAUCAUAAUGGAUCGCCAUUUCCACUAUUCUGUUCAGGAUCACCCUCCAUUACGGGUCUCGUGAAUUCGUGGCGUUUGAUAAUGAAGUCAACGAACUGACUAUCACUAACAUCAAAAAUGCUUGCGAAAGGCAUUUUCUUCCUCGCAUCGGAUCAAAUCACGCUUGUGAUAUUCUUGCUGGAGAGCAGGGACACUCAUGCAAAAAUAUGGAACAGAUCCCUGACGUAAAAGUCAUUUAUGUGAGAUUCCAGUUAAUUUAGUAAAUGUUGAAGAAAAUUUAGAUGAAGAUAUCAGUUUUCCUGCUUACCCAGUGGUACAUCAAACAUGCAAACGGCCUCAUCAAGAGCAUGAGAUACAAUCACUCUCCGAAAGAAGUCCUUUAAAGAAAAAAAAGAGAUCCUGAACGACGAAACUGUUACCCAAAACUUUCCUCGCAGUUUGUCAGUUUCUGAUAUGAUCAAGCUUGGCAAACUUUCAAAUACAAAAAACUCAACAGUUGCUAACAUUCACUUGUUUGACAUCACGUCCGUUAUCUGGUCCCAAGUACCUUAUGUAUCUAUUCUGUGAUAGAUGUGAGAAGCAUGUGAGCCUGCGGGCUUUAGCCCCCCAAAAUUAUCUAUUAUAUUAAUCCUAACACGGUUUUAAUAUGCACAUGAAAAACAUGUGACUUGGACGAGAUGUCGUCCAUAUUAUAUAUUUUAUUCCAAAGCCAUCUGAUGAUGGCUUUGGAAUAAAAUUAUCUAAGGGUGGUGUGGUUUGGCCCUACCUAAAAAUAUAAGUUCUUUGCCCUAGCUAAAAUUGUAAGCUCUAAUUGCCAAAAUCUAGUACAUCCUUAUUUGCUGUGGCCUAUCCUUAACCUAUGCUAUUACCCCACGGCACAGAUUACAGGAAUUCCAAGAAAAAAAUUGAUAUUGACUCAAAUUUAAAUUGCAAAUAAGGAUAACUUUUAAUGCUUUCAGAUUUAGUAAAGACCGUUAACAUGCAGACUUUACACUAAGAUCAAAUCUUAAAUAACUUAAACUAGCACGAUUUGUGACAUGAUGAAAUUGUCUUUCCAUGGCUAGAACUCUUUUCUUUCAUAAUAGUUAAAACUACAGUUAUUUAUUCAAUAAUUUACACACAUCAGCACGUAGAAGAUAGAUCACAUUUUUUGUGACAACCUGUAUCUAGAACUUAGACCCCUAGACAGUGAGAGUUUCCCUUUGGCUGAAUCAGCUUAAAUGUGUAUUUAAUAUAAAUACAUGAAUAAUUUACUGAGAAUAAAAACAAUCGGAAGAGAUCAGCAAUAAGCUCUCUCAUAAACCAUGACAACCAAUAGCGUAGCAUGUUUACAAUUACCAUACAAAAAUAAAUAUUUUGGUGUUCAAUUACUUUUUCGUUACUCACUACACUACAUAUGAGAUGACAACAGUAAAUAUGGGCAGGACGCACAUAAUUAGAGAAAAUAGCAAUGUCAUAGCAAUGAAAAUGACUCAUUACUGUCCAUAUCAGUAGUAAAGACACCAGUAGAAAUGACUCA